UACGUAGGGUGCGAGCGUUGUCCGGAAUUACUGGGCGUAGAGAGCCCGUAGGGGGUUUGUCGCGUUGUUCGUGAAAUCUCACGGCUUAACUGUGAGCGUGCGGGCGAUACGGGCAGACUAGAGUACUGCAGGGGAGACUGGAAUUCCUGGUGUAGCGGUGGAAUGCGCAGAUAUCAGGAGGAACACCGGUGGCGAAGGCGGGUCUCUGGGCAGUAACUGACGCUGAGGAGCGAAAGCGUGGGGAGCGAACAGG
rnacentral:rRNA from 1 species